UACGUAGGGGGCGAGCGUUGUCCGGAGUUACUGGGCGUAAAGGGCGCGUAGGCGGCGUAACAAGUCACUUGUGAAAUCUCCGGGCUUAACCCGGAGCGGCCAAGUGAUACUGUUGUGCUAGAGUGCAGAAGGGGCAACUGGAAUUCUCGGUGUAGCGGUGAAAUGCGUAGAUAUCGAGAGGAACACCAGCGGCGAAGGCAGGUUGCUGGGCUGACACUGACGCUGAGGCGCGAAAGCCAGGGGAGCAAACGGG
rnacentral:rRNA from 1 species